rfam:Myotis davidii contig62536, whole genome shotgun sequence.
AGGCCUGAAGAGAGAGGCAGGGGCUGAUCUGCAGCCUCCAUGGCAGCUGUUGAUCAGCCAUUGCCUCUCUCUUUCCUUUG